rnacentral:rRNA from 1 species
AACGAACGCUGGUGGCGCGCCUAAAACAUGCAAGUCGAACGAGAAAGUCCUUCGGGGCGAGUAGAGUGGCGCACGGGUGAGUAACGCGUGGAUAACCUACCAUUAGGACGGGGAUAACGUUCCGAAAGGAGCGCUAAUACCGGAUGAAGUUGAGAGAACAGUGGGGUUCUUUCAAUGAAAACAUAGUAUAGUGGCCUAAUGAGGGGUCUGCGUCCCAUUAGCUUGUUGGUGAGGUAAAAGCUCAUCCAAGGCUUUGAUGGGUAGCUGGUCUGAGAGGAUGAUCAGCCACACUGGAACUGAAACACGGUCCAG